UCCACAGGAUCGGCGCAGGACCGGCAUUUUUCUUUUGUGCCGUUUACAACCUAGGUCAAGCUAUAUGCCUGUACAAGAAAUCCUUCAGCAGUCGCCGCCUAUGCCACAUUAGAUUGGCAUCAACCUUGGUGCCCAUUGUGGCCCUGCUGACCUUUUCUGUGUGUAUGACCAUCAGCUUCUUCCAGCUAUGUACUGGCCGAUGUGAUGAGAUCUACACCAGGACAGGCAUGGUGGCCGAGUGGACUGGAUUUGUUGGCCUGAUAAUAUACCAACUAAUGAACUAUACAGAUUUCCAGCGUUUGUCUUUAACGUUGUCCCGAGAAGGUGUCUCCAUUGGCCUGAGAGAAAAGACCCAGGACCCUGAAAACC